rnacentral:rRNA from 1 species
GUGUCCUACGGGGGGCAGCAGUAGGGAAUCUUUCACAAUGGGCGAAAGCCUGAUGGAGCAACGCCGCGUGCAGGAUGAAGGCCUUCGGGUUGUAAACUGCUUUUAUAAGCGAGAAAUAUGAUGGUAACUUAUGAAAAAGCAUCGGCUAACUCCGUGCCAGCAGCCGCGGUAAUACGGAGGAUGCGAGCGUUAUCCGGAUUUAUUGGGUUUAAAGGGUGCGUAGGCGGACCGUUAAGUCAGUGGUCAAAUUGAGGGGCUCAACCCCUUCCCGCCAUUGAAACUGGCGCUCUUGAGUGGAAGAGAAG